GACGAACGCUGGCGGCGUGCCUAAUACAUGCAAGUCGAACGAACCGCGACUAGGUGCUUGCACUUGGUCAAGGUGAGUGGCGAACGGGUGAGUAACACGUGGGUAACCUGCCUCAUAGUGGGGGAUAACAGUCGGAAACGACUGCUAAUACCGCAUAGGACAUGGGAUCACAUGAUUCUGUGAGGAAAGGUGGCGCAAGCUAUCGCUAAGAGAUGGACCCGCGGUGCAUUAGCUAGUUGGUAGGGUAACGGCCUACCAAGGCGAUGAUGCAUAGCCGACCUGAGAGGGUGAUCGGCCACAUUGGGACUGAGACACGGCCCAAACUCCUACGGGAGGCAGCAGUAGGGAAUCUUCCGCAAUGGACGCAAGUCUGACGGAGCAACGCCGCGUGAGUGAAGAAGGUCUUCGGAUCGUAAAGCUCUGUUGUUAGAGAAGAACAGCGCAUAGAGUAACUGUUAUGCGUGUGACGGUAGCUAACCAGAAAGCCACGGCUAACUACGUG
rnacentral:rRNA from 1 species